rnacentral:misc_RNA from 1 species
UGUAGGAGCCGGCUUGCUGGCGAUGGGCCUUUGAAUCCAGCAUCAAUUCUCAGAACGCUAUCGCCAGCAAGCCGGCUCCUACA